GUUACGUUGGGAGUUCACUCGCGCAUCCUCGACCGUCCAGCGGUCUUCUCGAGGGAGCCCAGCUUUCAGCCGCGCCCUUCGGCACAUCAAUUUGCUUCUUUAAAAGCACACAGGCGGUCGGAACCUCCGAGGUGCGAUCCAUCACUUUGCGACAUACAUCAGCGGCUGGAGGAGGACCUACCUCUCCGUCGUAUAGCCUUCUGUUAGCACCGAGACCAGAAUCUAGUGUUGUCGCUUGCCUGACAUAAGAUUGCGCGGCUCAACUACAACUCGGUAUCGAGCGGAGCAAGGCAGCAAGCAGCAGACAUCAACUUCCGGACGUCAAUCCAGUGGCAGGUGGAGCAGCUGCUGCCGUACGU